rnacentral:tRNA from 1 species
GAAGAUAUAGUUCAAUGGUAGAACAAUAGGCUGUUAACCUAUAUAUGUAAGUUCAAUUCUUACUAUCUCCUCCA